rnacentral:rRNA from 1 species
AGUGGCGCACGGGUGAGUAACGCGUGGAUAAUCUGCCCGAGGAUUUGGGAUAACAUCUCGAAAGGGGUGCUAAUACCGAAUAAGCCCACGGGGUCUACGGAUCUUGCGGGAAAAGGGGGGGGACCUUCGGGCCUCCUGUCUUCGGAUGAGUCCGCGUACCAUUAGCUAGUUGGUGGGGUAAUGGCCUACCAAGGCGACGAUGGUUAGCUGGUCUGAGAGGAUGAUCAGCCACACUGGAACUGAGACACGGUCCAGACUCCUACGGGAGGCAGCAGUGGGGAAUUUUGCGCAAUGGGGGAAACCCUGACGCAGCAACGCCGCGUGGGUGAUGAAGGCCUUCGGGUCGUAAAGCCCUGUCGGGAGGGAAGAAAUGAUUGUGAGCUAAUACCUCAUGGUCUUGACGGUACCUCCGAAGGAAGCACCGGCUAACUCCGUGCCAGCAGCCGCGGUAAUACGGAGGGUGCAAGCGUUGUUCGGAAUUAUUGGGCGUAAAGCGCGUGUAGGCGGUCUUUUAAGUCUGAUGUGAAAGCCCCGGGCUCAACCUGGGAAGUGCAUUGGAAACUGGAAGACUUGAGUACGGGAGAGGAGAGUGGAAUUCCUAGUGUAGGAGUGAAAUCCGUAGAUAUUAGGAGGAACACCGGUGGCGAAGGCGGCUCUCUGGACCGAUACUGACGCUGAGACGCGAAAGCGUGGGUAGCAAACAGGAUUAGAUACCCUGGUAGUCCACGCC